rnacentral:lncRNA from 1 species
CGAUAGUUUAUUCAAAAGCCACACAACAGAUCAACCAAACAGCCUUGUGCUUUUUCCCAUAGCCCAUAGUUAUUUUUCCACAUCCCAUAGCUCACAACAGUUUUUUUCCAUAAGCUGCAACUCAACAUAAGCUGCAACUCAACCAUUAUAAAGGUGUUCGUCACGGACCGUCGUUCUUUCUUCCUCACCCGUGCCACCGUUGUUCUGCGCUAUCUUCCUGCACCUGCCUCCCUGUCUCUCCCCAUUCGCGGCUCUCCUCAUCCGCGGCCGCGUCCUGGAGCAGCGGUGGAGGCCGAGGCAAAAGGUGCAGACCCAUUGUCGCCACGGGCAAGCGUUGUUCUUGCAGCUCCCGUGCCAGAACUCAGGCCACGCCCAAGCACCGUCGCUGUUCUCGAUGUCCUUGGCGUCGUCGUGGGGGAGGAGCUAGUAGCCAUGUGAAUGGCGGAAGCGGUGCACCUGGCAAGCGUCACAGUGGUGGCACGGGCGAAGGCACCACAAACGCCCAAGGAGAGCUCGGAGCACCUGCUGCCGAUCGACAUGCUCGACACUGCAGCGGGGUAGUGCAACGGCAGCGUGUUCCUCCUGUUCGUCAAGACAAGACCGCCAUGGAAGGGGCUCCCCCUUACACCCACGGAGAAAGACGCGGCCGAGGCUGAUAGGUAGUCGUAUCUUAACGCCGCCAAAGGCAACGAUAGCCUAGGCGCGCAGAGAGACACCCAGAACAGGGUGAAACCGGGACGGGCAGGCGCCGCCACCCCCGCUGCAGAC